UAAGAACGGCCAUGCACCACCACCCACAGAAUCAAGAAAGAGCUAUCAAUCUGUCAAUCCUUACUAUGUCUGGACCUGGUGAGUUUCCCCGUGUUGAGUCAAAUUAAGCCGCAGGCUCCACUCCUGGUGGUGCCCUUCCGUCAAUUCCUUUAAGUUUCAGUCUUGCGACCAUGCUCCCCCUGGAACUCAAAGACUUUGAUUUCUCAAAAAAUGCCGAAGGAAUCAACAGGCAACCGCCUCCAAUUUCUUGGUAGCAUAGUUUAUGGUUAAGACUAGGACGGUAUCUAAUCGUCUUCGAUCCCCUAACUUUCGUUCUUGAUUAAAGAAGACAUCCUUGGCAAAUGCAUUCGCAUUAGUUUGUCUUUAACAAAUCCAAGAAUUUCACCUCUGACAGUUAAAUACAAAUGCCCCCAACCAUCCCCAUCAAUC
rnacentral:rRNA from 1 species